GCUUGCNCUGAUUUCAACAAUGAANGNGNGUGGCGAACUGGUGAGUUAACACGUGGGGAAUCUNCCCUAGAAGCAGGGGAUAACACUUGGAAACAGGUGCUAAUACCGUAUAAACAACACAAAUCCGCAUGGAUUUUGUUUGAAAGGUGGCUUCGGGCUAUCACUUCUGGAUGAUCCCGCGGCGUAUUAGUUAGUUGGUGAGGUAAAGGCCCCACCAAGACGAUGAUACGUAGCCGACCUGAGAGGGUAAUCGGCCACAUUGGGACUGAGACACGGCCCAAANUCCUACGGGAGGCAGCAGUAGGGAAUCUUCCACAAUGGACGAAAGUCUGAUGGAGCAAUGCCGCGUGAGUGAAGAAGGGUUUCGGCUCGUAAAACUCUGUUGUUAAAGAAGAACACCUUUGAGAGUAACUGUUCAAGGGUUGACGGUAUUUAACCAGAAAGCCACGGCUAACUACGUGCCAGCAGCCGCGGUAAUACGUAGGUGGCAAGCGUUGUCCGGAUUUAUUGGGCGUAAAGCGAGCGCAGGCGGUUUUUUAAGUCUGAUGUGAAAGCCUUCGGCUUAACCGGAGAAGUGCAUCGGAAACUGGGAGACUUGAGUGCAGAAGAGGACAGUGGAACUCCAUGUGUAGCGGUGGAAUGCGUAGAUAUAUGGAAGAACACCAGUGGCGAAGGCGGCUGUCUAGUCUGUAACUGACGCUGAGGCUCGAAAGCAUGGGUAGCGAACAGGAUUAGAUACCCUGGUAGUCCAUGCCGUAAACGAUGAGUGCUAAGUGUUGGAGGGUUUCCGCCCUUCAGUGCUGCAGCUAACGCAUUAAGCACUCCGCCUGGGGAGUACGACCGCAAGGUUGAAACUCAAAGGAAUUGACGGGGGCCCGCACAAGCGGUGGAGCAUGUGGUUUAAUUCGAAGCUACGCGAAGAACCUUACCAGGUCUUGACAUCUUCUGCCAAUCUUAGAGAUAAGACGUUCCCUUCGGGGACANAAUGACAGGUGGUGCAUGGUUGUCGUCAGCUCGUGUCGUGAGAUGUUGGGUUAAGUCCCGCAACGAGCGCAACCCUUAUUAUCAGUUGCCAGCAUUCAGUUGGGCACUCUGGUGAGACUGCCGGUGACAAACCGGAGGAAGGUGGGGAUGACGUCAAAUCAUCAUGCCCCUUAUGACCUGGGCUACACACGUGCUACAAUGGACGGUA
rnacentral:rRNA from 1 species